UACGUAUGGGGCGAGCGUUGUCCGGAAUCAUUGGGCGUAAAGGGUUCGUAGGCGGUUUAUUAAGUCGAGUGUGAAAGGUUGGGGCUCAACCCCAUAAAGCAUUCGAAACUGAUAAACUUGAGAUGUGGAGAGGAAAGUGGAAUUCCUAGUGUAGCGGUGACAUGCGUAGAUAUUAGGAGGAAUACCAGUAGCGAAGGCGACUUUCUGGACACAUACUGACGCUAAGGAACGAAAGCGUGGGGAGCAAACAGGAUUAGAUACCCUGGUAGUCCCUGAG
rnacentral:rRNA from 1 species